GUUGCUGGAUCCCUUUUGAGCAUGACUCCACAUUUUUCCUUCUGUCACCUCAGUGGUUGCUACCUUGGCAACAUCAAGACAUUAAACUCAAUUACUCAAUUACCAUGAGAUCAAUGCGGAGUCCUGCCCCUGGAUUGGGACUAGAUGGUCACAAUCUUAUCUCCAGGGGAAUCCAAGAUGUUUUCUAUUUGUGUUAAAACCAUUAAUCUUGGAGAGUGAGAAGAUGUGAGAAAGGAACAUGAGGCAAUGUUGAUGAGGAGAGGAGCCUUGCAGAGCUGAACAGAGGAUGAGUGAAGCAAUAUGCUCAUCAUAUUUUACUGCGCCGAACAGGAAGAAAACUACACUGCUCAUCAGCACCAUCUCCUGAGAAGUGUAAAGGCAAAGUUAUAAGUGGUAUUUAAGAUGGGCAUUUGAGGAUAUCUCAGAAUCUGAUGCUUCUGUUAGCAUCUUCGUGUUCAGAAACCUGGUAUCUGGAUAGAGUCUAAUAGACUCCAGCUUUCUCUGCUUCUACCUGUACAACCUCUUCCUCUCACCUCUCAGAGGACUUCCAAAAUGCUGAGGGAUUCGCC